rnacentral:sRNA from 1 species
UUUGCCCUCGAGGACAAUUACUAUAUUGAGAUGGAGUUACCAGGGCUGAAGUAGAAAAGUCAGAGCAAAACCACGCCUGUGUCUUCCUCCUGCCUCAGGGACGAACACCUUCCUUCCAGGUCCGUGGCAAAUAUCUCCAAAAGCCCUGCCGCCUGCCAACACCCCUUCAAGUUCCCAGUUCCACGGAGGCGGAAGCAAAGCCCCCGGAAAGGCCGGUUUGUCCGCCCUGUGUUGUUUAAAGGGGAUAGACGACCUUGGAGCGCCCCGCCCCCUCCCGCCAAGGAAGGACCCCAUUGGCUCUCCCCGGAGGCUUCACUCUCAUUGGUCAGCGAGUGAAUGCCGACCUGCAGACUGGGGCCUAAGUUUCUUUUAGUUUCCGGUGUCUCUGCAAUGGCGGCUCUAGACUCCCUGUCGCUCUUCACUAGCCUCGGCCUGAGCGAGCAGAAGGCCCGUGAGACGCUCAAGAACUCGGCUCUGAGCGCGCAGCUGCGCGAGGCCGCUACUCAGGCUCAGCAGACCCUGGGUUCCACCAUUGACAAAGCUACCGGGAUCCUGUUAUAUGGCUUGGCCUCCCGACUCAGGGAUACCCGGCGUCUCUCCUUCCUUGUAAGCUACAUAGCCAGUAAGAAGAUCCACACUGAGCCCCAGCUAAGCGCUGCCCUUGAGUAUGUGCGGAGUCACCCCUUGGACCCCAUCGACACUGUGGACUUCGAGCGGGAAUGUGGCGUGGGUGUCAUUGUGACCCCAGAGCAGAUUGAGGAGGCUGUGGAGGCUGCUAUUAACAGGCACCGGCCCCAGCUCCUGGUGGAACGUUACCAUUUCAACAUGGGGCUGCUGAUGGGAGAGGCUCGGGCUGUGCUGAAGUGGGCAGAUGGCAAAAUGAUCAAGAAUGAAGUGGACAUGCAGGUCCUCCACCUUCUGGGCCCCAAGAUGGAGGCUGAUCUGGAGAAGAAGUUCAAGGUGGCAAAAGCUCGGCUAGAAGAAACAGACCGGAGGACGGCAAAGGAUGUGAUGGAGAAUGGCGAGACUGCUGACCAGACCCUGUCUCUGAUUGAGCAGCUCCGGGGGGAGGCCCUUAAGUUCCACAAGCCUGGUACGUACCCGGUUCCCGCCAGAACCCAAUGGAAUCCUGCAUAUUGGACAUGCCAAAGCCAUCAAUUUCAACUUCGGCUAUGCCAAGUUUGAUAAACAGGACUGUGGGGCUGAUGGAUGAUGUGGGAGUUCACAGAUGGUGCAACUUUCCUAGGCCAACAAUGGCAUCUGUUUUCUGCGUUUUGAUGACACCAACCC